GUGAAGAUAUGGUUCACCUAACCCCACCACCUAAUGUUGUGAGUUGAUGGGAGUGAGGUUGACACAAUAAGGUCUUCCCUUCAUUUGGCAGAGGCAUGGUCUUCUUCCUACCCCUUCAUUAUGUACACUCUACCAUUUUAUAUUUGAAUAAGGGGGCAGCUCUCAGUCUCAGUAAUUCCCAGCAGCAGCAGCAGAAAGAGGAGCUCUCGGUCUCUUUCAUUCCAGCAGAAAGGUGGAGCUCUCGUUUUAGCAAAAGGGUGGUGGUUCUUCAUUGGUUUUCCCCUCUCUCUUUGGAAGGCAAUUGGCAUAGCAUGGAGGUUGUUCCUGAGCCUGAAAAAACACCCAUAAAAGGAAGAAGAAGCUGCUGAAACGAAGAAGAAGAAGCUGGACAGAUUUCUGAACAAAAAGGGUUGUAUUUUUCCAUUCCCGUUUUUCUUUGUUUUUGCCUUGAAUCUGGUUUUGUUGAUUGUUGGUUUGGUUGUUUGAACUCCUAGGAUCCCCAACAAACUGGU
rnacentral:lncRNA from 1 species